rnacentral:rRNA from 1 species
GGAGGAAAGUAGGGGAUCGAAAGACCUUAUGCUUUUGGAGCGACCGAUGUCUGAUUAGCUAGUUGGUAAGGUAAAGGCUUACCAAGGCUUCGACCAGUAGUUGGUCCGAGAGGACGACCAGCCACACUGGGACUGAGACACGGCCCAGACUCCUACGGGAGGCAGCAGUGGGGAAUUUUGGACAAUGGGGGAAACCCUGAUCCAGCCAUGCCGCGUGAGUGAAGAAGGCCUUCGGGUUGUAAAGCUCUUUCAGUUGAGAAGAAAAGAUUACGACUAAUAAUCGUGAUUCAUGACGGUAUCAACAGAAGAAGCACCGGCUAACUACGUGCCAGCAGCCGCGGUAAUACGUAGGGUGCGAGCGUUAAUCGGAAUUACUGGGCGUAAAGGGUGCGCAGGCGGUCUUGUAAGUCUGAUGUGAAAUCCCCGGGCUUAACCUGGGAACUGCGUUUGAAACUAC